rnacentral:misc_RNA from 1 species
GAAGGAAACAACAAUAAGGUUGCCACCAAUCCUAGACUAGAUCUUCAGCAAUGAUCAAACUAGCAAACGGCUUACUCAUCCUAUAUGUACCUAGGCCUUUAGAGAAGAGAAAAGCAACCAGUAAACAAUCAAAAAAAUUAAGAGCCCACUGCUAAUAAUUGAAGUUCAAAACUCUAUGUUGAAAUCAUGGGCCCAGAAGGAGUGUACAUUAACAGACUGGCUUCUACACUGAAUUGGGCUUGGUUUAGUUUGACAACAAUUAUAAGCGUUAGUAAUUAUACUCUGAUACCACUUGUUUGCUAAAUCAAAAUAUAUAGAUGGAUAGAUGGAAGGGAAAGAGAGGAAUAAUAUAGAUAAAAUAGAAAGAUCAUAAACAUUCACUUCAUUUCCAUAACCUUUCACUUCAUCUUCAUUAGCUUUCCACUCCCCUUCCACUUCCUUUCCAUACAUAAUGCAAUAGU